rnacentral:rRNA from 1 species
UACGGGGGGGGCAAGCGUUGUUCGGAAUUACUGGGCGUAAAGGGCUCGUAGGUGGCCAACUAAGUCAGACGUGAAAUCCCCUCGGCUUAACCGGGGAACUGCGUCUGAUACUGGAUGGCUUGAGUUUGGGAGAGGGAUGCGGAAUUCCAGGUGUAGCGGUGAAAUGCGUAGAUAUCUGGAGGAACACCGGUGGCGAAGGCGGCAUCCUGGACCAACACUGACACUGAGGAGCGAAAGCUAGGGAGCAAACAGG